rnacentral:rRNA from 1 species
CGGGAGGCAGCAGUGGGGAAUAUUGCACAAUGGGCGCAAGCCUGAUGCAGCCAUGCCGCGUGUAUGAAGAAGGCCUUCGGGUUGUAAAGUACUUUCAGCGGGGAGGAAGGCGUUGUGGUUAAUAACCACAGCGAUUGACGUUACCCGCAGAAGAAGCACCGGCUAACUCCGUGCCAGCAGCCGCGGUAAUACGGAGGGUGCAAGCGUUAAUCGGAAUUACUGGGCGUAAAGCGCACGCAGGCGGUCUGUUAAGUC